rfam:Gossypium hirsutum cultivar TM-1 chromosome 5, whole genome shotgun sequence
AAUCCAUGCAUUGGACAUUUCCGAAUUAAGUCUUUAGAUCGUUCCCAAGUUUCAUAUAGUGUUUCAUCCUCUAAUUUCCAAAAGGAUGUUAUGUCAUUUCUAAGCUU